GGUCAGCCUUGGGUGGAGAAAGGGCUCAGCCAGCCUGGGCUAUUGGUUUGAAGUAGGCUUACACAGGCCACCUGCAGAAGGCCCUGCAGGAAGGGAGGGCUUCGGUCUAGGAAACCUUUGUUACAAGGAUCCUGGGGCUUCUGAUCCGACUUUCCCUGUGUGGGAGCCUGUGGUGUCCUCACCUUUCAAAGUCUUCGUUCCCUAGAGUUUUGGGGAAGAGAUAGGUAUAGAAUGGCAGGAGAGGGGAAAGGGAGCUAAAAGUCACCUGAGAGAAACAAGAAAAAGGUAAGGGGCCCCCAAGAAGGGAGAGGCUUAGCAGCUAAAGGGCUGGGAAGUGUCUAGGAAUUCUGGGCUCCUUGGGGCCCUUGCCAUUCCCGGUCAUUUCUCCCAGGCCUGCCGGGUGUGGCGGAGCCAUGGCAGACAGCCGUGUCCCUCCGUGGGGGCAUCAGGCAACGGGGAGGGUGUUGACAACAACAGUGUGUGAGGCAGCUGGGCCAGCAGUCUGGAAAAGGCCAUGUGAGCAGACAGAAUGUAAACAGGGAGCUCCACGGGAGUUGAAGGCAUCUCCUGGCCCCCUCUCCACCCCAGGUCUCAUUCCCUUCAUGCCCAGGAAGCCAGACCUGGACACCUCUUGUCAGCUUCUCUCUACCAGGUUUCCUGCAUCUACACCCUUUUGGAGCAACUUUUCCAGACCACCUUCCCAACCUGCACAUUGGUCCUUCUGUUCCUCAUCAUGCUGGAAACCUACUCACUGAGCAAGGACUGGUCCUAACCCUGUCUGGCUCUACAGCAGGAAAGGCUAGUGCUAUUGGCUAAGAGAAGAUAUUAGGAUUGUGAGUUGAAAGCAGGGAUAAGGGGUGGGAUGGCUGGUCCCUCCUGGGAACACAAGAGGGCGGCUGUGAGAGUAGUUCAGUGGGAUCCCUGCCGGUGUGCUGGAAACCAAGUCAUAGGGUCAAAUCCACCCCCUUCGGUAUGGAGUCUGUGCAAGCCUCCGUAUGGAGGGCUUUGUGGAUGACAUGAGAAGGGGAGUUCCCAGAGCUUCAGAAGAUACUAAAACCCCACCAACAGACAAUCUGGGGCCCCUGAGUUAGAGAGUCCCAAAGAAUCAGGAGCCCCAGCUCCGCCUAAAGCCCAAGGCAAUAGACUUAACUCCUCAUGCUGCCCUGCUACCUGGAGUCAGCAGUCCUCUGUGGGCCUGUUUUCCCGUUGGACCAAUGACUCUGGGUAAGCGAGAAGUGAGUUGUGAAGAAGGGCAGUCUGGGGCUUCCAGAGCAGGUAGUGGGCCUGGGAGACAGAGCGCAGAGGACAGAAGGGCAGUGAGGGCUGAGGCCCUGCAGGGCUCCCGCUCACCCCACAGUGCUGCUGGAAGGGAUGCUGGCCUGAGGGAGGGGCUUUCCACCCCUCUCUGUCCUCAGUCGUCCCCACGGAGACCACAUCUCAAGACUCAACUGUCCCCUCCCAGUGACUCAGGCUUUGGCUGCCCUCCUGCCCACACCCAAGGCUGGGUCCAGUGCCCCACAACAGGAAGGGCUGUGGUGAGGGUGCUUGGCGGGGGUGGGGGGACUGCUCCAGCAGCCCCCCGGUCAAGGGCCCUGGUGUGCAAAGAAAGGCCUAGGC